rnacentral:rRNA from 1 species
AGUGAACGCUGGCGGUAGGCCUAACACAUGCAAGUCGAACGGCGGCACAGUAAGAGCUUGCUCUUACGGGUGGCGAGUGGCGGACGGGUGAGGAAUACAUCGGAAUCUACUUUUUCGUGGGGGAUAACGUAGGGAAACUUACGCUAAUACCGCAUACGACCUACGGGUGAAAGCAGGGGAUCUUCGGACCUUGCGCGAUUGAAUGAGCCGAUGUCGGAUUAGCUAGUUGGCGGGGUAAAGGCCCACCAAGGCGACGAUCCGUAGCUGGUCUGAGAGGAUGAUCAGCCACACUGGAACUGAGACACGGUCCAGACUCCUACGGGAGGCAGCAGUGGGGAAUAUUGGACAAUGGGCGCAAGCCUGAUCCAGCCAUACCGCGUGGGUGAAGAAGGCCUUCGGGUUGUAAAGCCCUUUUGUUGGGAAAGAAAAGCAGCAGGUUAAUACCCCGCUGUUCUGACGGUACCCAUAGAAUAAGCACCGGCUAACUUCGUG